AAAGAAAAAUAGAACCUUGGGAAAUAAGGAAACUUUUCCCCGGAGAUUUUAAUCGGUGGUUAAUCCAGCAUGUCUGCUUUGCAAUGUCACCCAUUCCUGUGAAACACAGCACUCUUCAGUGAUCAAGAAUCCAAGCUGGCAUAAAGAACUUCUUCAUUAGGACAUCAAAACUGGAGGAAUAUUUUUGGUUUUUACUAUAACUUUUUCUUGGAAGUGUGUUCACUUAUUUCACGACCACCUAAGGCUCUCUAAGGCAUGCAGCAACACAGUUUGAGACAUCUCUGUGAUGUUCUGUACAUCAUAUAGUUGCUAACAACCUGUCAAAGUCAUCCUGACACCAAACUGAGAAGCCGAUAGUUUUAGUAACAUAUUAGCAGAGAUGAAAAAAGAUGGUCCUCAUUAUUGUAAUAAAAUCAACAGAGACACGCUGAGAAUCAAUUACUGAUUUUGUGACCUGUUGAACUAAACCUCAGUGAAGUGGGAAACUGCACAGAGCAUCUUACAUUAUCAAAUGAUUUAGGAUAGAGCACUGUCUGAAGACUUGCAACAAGUCAAGGCAAAUAUGUUUCCUUAAAUUGUAGCUUGCUUAAUUACCUUGUUCAUGAGCACAAAGAUCAAAUUGAGCAACUUAAGGUGCUGAUGCACUGUGCCAGCUGGACAUGAAGAGGAAAUAAUUAACACACACAAGAGCCAAGUUUAAGGAUGAGACUCUUACUGACAACAGCAAGGAGAUCCAAAGUUAAGGCAGACACUGUGUCCUUGACUGGAUCCAUGUGCCUACAAUUUGCAGCACAUAUUGGAUUGGGGAAGAGCACCAUGUGUUGCAGCCAUUUCAAGUAAGCAGAUGGCUUUUUAAAGCACUCGAUGUAGGGAAAGCAAAGCCCUUUCAAAGGCUGGCAUUUCACUCUCAUUAUUUGUCACAGAUUGUUCCACUCUUGCCUUUGCAACACCCGAGUAUCAUCAAGAAAACUUUCUUUCAUGAAAGCCUUGAAGAGAAAACUGAAAUUUGCUUAAAAAUCUUCUUCAUGCUCAAUCGCUCUUCUCAAGGCCACAGCAACAUCUUUCUUCCUACUGGAACAUCUCCCAAAAGCAAUGUUUUUCCUCCAUAAGCAAGCUCAGCAGCACUAAGGUGCACAGUAAUUGUUGACCAAUGAAGAACCGAACCUACGAGGCCAACUUUCAUGCAUUACUUCCUGCAUUUUUUCAGAGGAUCUCCUAUGCCUGCUUGAAGGCACCCAAGAUAAACACAAAGAAACCACCUCAUUCUAGCAUAUCAUCUUGAAGGAUGGACUCUUUGGAGUACUGCACACUACAGAAUUGUUAUGAUCAGGGGGGCCAGAUGUCACCAGCUGAGUCAUUCAUUUGAUGUUGCACCAUUGCGUGGUACUGCUGCCAUAGAUACUGCCCUGCCCUUAUGGUGGCUGCUGUGAUUCAUUGAAAGUAAUAUCAUCCCAACUGCCACUCCAGGGAAUCUUGCAGGCAUGAUUUUCUAACACAGAACGACCCCUUAAAAAUAACUGCCAGAAAUACUGCACUUUAUAAAAGGGCAUCUUUAUUAAUUCUCACGGUGGGUCACCAGAAAGUCCCAGGAACUACUGUACUCAUGGGGUAAUUUGUAGUUAUCAGAAACAUUGCAUUUAAUGUCUUUAUUCCAGUGGAACCGGAGCCCACUGGUUACUAAACAGCCUCCUCCUCUUAAAUCACAGAAAUUAAAGAGGAGAGAGACUCAUCAGAUUAUUUUAUCAAUCCACUCUUUGAAUGCAAAAUUGGCAAAUGUAUAGUCUUUGCCGCCAAAACAUUCAGAGCCAGGGACACUCACCACUGUGCUACAUGCCACUUCACUUAUCAGUGCCUACUAGUGUUUGGCCUUUCUCCUAAAACAAUGAAUUCCUGUGUAUGCAGCACAGCACUUCAUCCUUUGGAUAGAGCCUCAUCCAAAGAAUAGACUCUAAAUGACUGCAGAGUGCUGUGGACCGAUUCACUCACCUGAUCUGUUUAUUCUUCCAACUCUAUUGGAGUAGGACCUGGUGUUUCACUUGGGUAGUUAGACUGAAGGAUUCUAAACUUCUAUUUUUAUCAAAUGAAAGACUCUUCUCAGAACUAAACAAAAAUUCCACAA